rnacentral:rRNA from 1 species
UACGGGAGGCAGCAGUGGGGAAUCUUCCACAAUGGGUGCAAACCUGAUGGAGCAAUGCCGCGUGAGUGAAGAAGGUCUUCGGAUCGUAAAGCUCUGUUGUUAGAGAAGAACACGUGCUAGGUAACUACUAGCGCCUUGACGGUAUCUAACCAGAAAGUCACGGCUAACUACGUGCCAGCAGCCGCGGUAAU